rnacentral:lncRNA from 1 species
UAAGUAAAUACUACACACAGUUAAAUGAACACUGUAAAUAAUUAAAUUAAUAUGGUACACGGUUAACUAACUAUGGUAUAUAAUUAAAUAAUAUGGUAUAUAGUUAAUUUACCACUAUGUACAAUUAAAUUAACAUGGCAUACAGUUAACUAAAUAUGGUAUACAAUUAAUUUACUAAUAUACAUAAUGGUCAUCGAUUGGAUAGGAGGCGA